UCGAGAAUCUUCCACAAUGGACGAAAGUCUGAUGGAGCGACGCCGCGUGACUGAUGAAGUGCUUCGGCAUGUAAAGGUCUUUUAUGUGGGAAAAAGUUAUUGAUGGUACCACAAGAAUAAAGGGUUGCUAAACUCGUGCCAGCAGCAGCGGUAAUACGAGUGCCCUAAGCGUUAUCCGGAAUCAUUGGGCGUAAAGGGUGUGUAGGUGGUUGUGUUAGUCUUCUGUUAAAUUCUUCGGCUUAACCGGGGGCAUGCAGAGGAAACGGCACAACUAGAGGAUGCGAGAGGUACAUGGAACUCAUGGAGUAGGGGUGAAAUCCGUUGAUAUCAUGGGGAACACCGAAAGCGAAGGCAAUGUACUGGCGCACUCCUGACACUGAAACACGAAAGCGUAGGUAGCGAAUGGG
rnacentral:rRNA from 1 species